rnacentral:snRNA from 9 species
AUACUUACCUGGUAGAGAUACCGUAAUCAUGCAGGCGGUUCCCCCAGGGUGAGGUUGCUCCAUUGCACUGCGGAGUGGUUGGUGGUUGACCCUUGCGAUUAUUCUUAUUUUUUAAAAGUUUCACUUCUACCGUGUGUGACUUGCACACACACACAUUUUUAUUUUAUUUUUAGAAGGUACACUUUUCAAUUGA